GGGAUCAGUGGAGAAAGAACCGCUCCAGCUUCUACAAAAAUUCUAGUACACAUCUUCAGAUCUAAUCCACAUUUCCAACUGAAAUUCAUUUUUCAUCUACCUGAAAGAGGCCCUGACACCUUCUGCACAGAAAAUAAAACACGUUCUAAUAUUUGUUGUCUUCCAUUGCAGCUUUACAAUGUUACAUUUGUCGUGGAGCUUCUUAAAGAGAGAGAACUGUUGAAGCAUCCAAUUGAUCCUGCAGAUAUUGUAAAUAUGGACAGUAAAGCCACGAUCCGAAUCUUGCAUUGCUUGUUUGCAAAGUACAAGGACAAGUGAAGGAGAGCAUAGCACUUCCUGGCAGCACGAAAGCAACCUUCAAAUGUGUUAAUUGCAGGGAGUCAAUUGAGUGAAAAACGUUAUAACACAGAGACUUAGAGAUUUGUACAUAAUUUGCUGAACAAAUUCCUAAAACAACUGCCUUUUUUAAUCUUUUCAGAACUAGGCAAAAUUAUCAAGCAGCACAUUUUUUAGGAAUGCUGAGACUUUACAAUUUUUAUACAAUUUAUAAAUAGACAACAACAAGGAGUGAAAUCAUUGUAAUAUAAAAGGUUGCAAUGACAAGGCACCUGAUUAAUACAAAGGAAUUAAAUCGAGAACAUUAAAACUUGAAUUUCACUAA